ACUUAAUCGUGCUGCACUUUGGGUUCCUCACCUAUGAAAUAGGGUUAAUAGAACCUGCUUCCUGGGGUUAUUGUAUUAAAUAAGAGAACACAUAUAAAUUAUCUAUCAUGCUACUUGGAAUACAACAGGUACUCAAAAAUAAUAGCUUUAUUACUUUCAUUGUGGUGAUUUCCCAUCACAUUAACUCUAGCAUAAAACAGUUAAGCUGAUUUGCAUGUACUACUUAGAUAUGCAGUUCACUUUGGUUAUUUAAACCCAUUUUUAUUCCAUAUUCAGUUUGAAGUAUAGCUCAUGUCAUGAAUAUUACUUUCAGUCUUUAUAUGAGAAACACUCAGAAAAUUAUUGCUAGCAAUGUAUAAUAAUUAUAGUAUUUUUGACUUCAUGUUUUAAAAAAUAACCAGUCGAGGUUAUAAAUACCCAAGUGUAAUAUUUCCCUUUCUACUGAAGGGAAAAUAUUUUUUAUUUAUUGCACUUCUACCUCUGAAAAUAAAAGCCACAGUGUAAACAUACCAGCAAGACUGUCUUGAGUUUAAAAAUCAGAGAAAAUAAAUUUGACUUCAGGGAAAGAUAAUGAAUGCACACCUCAAACCCCUAUUUGAGAAGAGGUAUGUCCUCGGGGUAAAGGUGCUGAAAAGUAGCUAGCCGAAAUAGGAUGCUGUCUCAGAUUCAGGUCAAAACCAAUGUAGUAUCACCGUCACCAUCACCAUCACCAUCAUUGUCGUUAAGCUUGCCGGGUUUAAUGUAUCAUAAUUUGGCUUUGCUUUCCAUAGAAAUGAGGUCUCAACCUGCAAAAAUAUAGAGUCUUCAAAUCACAAGUGGACUUUCUGGCUCAGAGAAGAGCUGCUGAUAGUUGAAAGGUGUGUUGAUAUCUGUAAGAAGCUGUAUCCAUUUCCCAUAGGACGCAUAGUUCUGCUUCUAGAAAAAGGAUAAGUACCUCUUCACCUAUGCCGUUUCCAUCCUUUCUCCCCACCUGGUCUCUGAUCCUGGGGUCAUUCCUCCCUCUAUGCUUGUCAUUGACUGCCUUUCCUCCUCUAUGUUGACAUUGACUCCCAUGAACUGCCCUAUUGGUGGUCGUAGUUAAUCUUCAUUUUGUUUAGUUGUGCUCUUCCACCCUGCAUUUUUGUGUACUUCUUGGGCUACUGGAUUCUUUGGUUCUGUCCUUGGAAGUCACUGCAGUCACAUUCUGAGCCAUUCUGAUCUGACUGGGCUUUUAAGUCCCCCGCCACCUAUAAAGAACUUCUUCACAUGAAUUGAUGGUCUAUUUUGAGCCUCAUCACAGUCUAGUGUGUCCACACUAUUCAUGAAACCUAGAACAAAGAAGAAUUCAUUACUUUUUUUUCCUCUUCUGAAUUACACCUCUGGCUCAGGAACCUGCUUAAUGAGCCAGAUGAUGCCUCAGGUGGGUAUGUGUGUAUCAGUGUAAGAUCCAUCUCUCUACCUGUGGUGGAAAGAAAAUUCUGUCAAUUUAAAUGCUAGUUGCUUUAGGCAAUUGUGUUCAGUCUACAGUUUGAGAUCCGUUGUGGGUCAUGAAAUCAACAUAACAUGUUGCAGGCAAGUAGAAGUUUUUCAUUAAACAAUGAAGUAGAAUGAAAAAAGAAAAUAUCAGAGGGCAUUUCAGUGAGGAUAAAAUGUCUCUACAUCUCUUUCUUCCUACCAUCUAUCAUGUUCAUAUGUGUGUAUAUAUACUGCAUUGCCAUGUAAGUGAAUUUCUUAUUGAGGUUCUCAACCAAGAAAGUUUGAAUUAGAAGAAUUCAAAUUCGAAUUCUAGUAGAAUAUGAGCAGAAUUUCCACCCAGGAAGAAUAUUUUUCUUUUGUUUUGAAAACUUGAAUAUCUUCUUGGGAUGGCUUUAUGGAAAUUGUGAUUCCUCUGUGCUCCCCUCCCCCCAGCUCCGUUCCAACUCUUACACAGUCUGCUCAAGGUAAGGCAUUUAAGAGGGAAAAGUGAUAUGUAUAAGAGAGUUACAGCCACCUCUGCCACUAUCCCAACCCUUUUCUGUGGUUAAGAGGGCCCAGAAUUUGGGGUCCCUGCAAAUAAUCAAAAGGAGAAUAUGAGAGACAUUGCUGGAGGCUGAGGUAUAGGGGUACAGAGGACAGAAGUACAGAUGAAAGGAAGCCAGACAAACACAUAAAGAAAGCUGAUAUCAUGGAGGUGGAGAAGAAAGGAACAUCCAGGUAAAAAUUCCUUGAGGGGUGUUGGGGAGGGAGGAGAGCAACAGUGGGAGGAUAUGAGAGGGAGGCUAAGAAACUUUUGCUCGUAGUUGUACAUCAGUCAGUUUCAGGUUACGUGUUCUGUGCUGCUCCAUUACGUUCAAAUCCUCACACAAACACUUAUGGCCUUGUGUUUGUGGUAUUCUUCAUAAAGAAGGCAAAAGAUGGUCCCAGAACUUCUAAGGUAGAACUAAGAGAACCAGUUAGAAUUUGGAGCCCAUCUAUGAGGCAGCAUGGCCCCAGGUGUGGAAGCUCGAUAGGCCUCUUUCCCUCAAACACACCAAGAGGAGAUGACCCUUGAAAAGGCAGGAAGGAUAAGUACUGAUGUUUUGUGGUGUAGAUGUUCUCUAGCCCAAGACCAACAGGAACACAGGCACAGAGCAACAAGUGGAGUCUAUUGCUGGUAGAACUGUGCAGUGUCUCGGGGAGAGGAUAUUUGGAAGGACUUACAGGAUUUGGGCUUGUGUUGGUGAUGUGGGGGAGGGCAUAAGGAAAUGAGGCUUUGCUCUGAUUGGAUACUGUCAGAAAUAGAGGUAAUUCUCUGAUAAGGUAUCUUAACUACACAGGAGGAGAGGCUCAAGCUGUGACUGGUAAAGAAGCAACAGUCACCCUUGUUACCCGCCAUGGGGGGAAUAUUUUGGUAUCUUGUGGGUUAGAGUUUUCAUGUUUUAUCUGUGUUCCCAAUGUGGAUUGUCCUGUUUUCAUCUCUACCCAUCGUGGCCAGAGUGGCUUUGUCCGAUAUUGAUGUUCCAUAAAAUUGUUUACAUUCGACGGAAGAACACCCACCUGGGUGUGCCAGGUUGCUUCCCACAUGUUAGGGCUGUUUUUUUCUUCCUCAAGAGUAUAGCUGUUUGAACCGUUUUACUUAAAUAUUAAGAUAGGCUUUAAGAUUGGGGAUGUCAGGGUGACAAACACAUAUGUGUAUGCUUACAUAUGUAAUGUGUUUUAUAUAUACAUAAAAGUUACUUAGGGAGUUGGUAAAUGUAUGUUGACGUACACUUUAAGUACUAAGCACCCUCCUGGAAAGGAAGGGAAAUUCACAUCCUUCUCAUUAAAUAAAGGAAAUUCCACAAGCUCUCUUCUGAAUCUCAUUUACUGUCCUCAAACUUUCAAAUUAACAAAUUAGAACGCUGGUCCUGACUUAAAAAUUUUUUAGUAUAAUUUGAGCAGCAAGGUCAGAUACCUUUAAUGAUGGCUAGCAUUGAUUACCUCCAUACAUUAUGAUGAGAUCACGUGGAUAUGGAGUUGCAGCGUUUUUUGCUAAAAGCCAGAAGCCCUGUGGAUGACCUGAAGCAGGCAGCUUCCUUGAAGCAGUGAGUGGGGCUGCGGAAUGGUGCUGGCAACACAACAUGUCUGUGCAGCUAAUUUCAUCUAAGCUCCAUUUGAAAGACAGCUGCCUGGGCUGCAAAGGAAAACAGCACUAUAAUGAAUCACUGCACAGCAGAGUGGGUUAAUACCAUAAUAUCACUGAGAAAUCAUUUAUAAUGAUGGUGAAUUAUACAACGCAAUAGUAUGCUGACUUGAAUUCCAGUGCCAUAUGGCUUUAGGUUUGCUUUUAUGCUUUCAUGGGGCAGGAUGGGAUGGCUUAAGGCUUUUUGCAUAGGGAAGAUCAUAAAAACACAAUGUUAUUUUAUUAGGAGAGCUGAAAUCCCAGUAAACUAUAGGCCUAAGAUAGAAAAUGAAGAUGGAGGGGGGAAUAUAGCAAAUGCAGAAUGACUUUUAUUAUUUUGUAGUCAGUGAGAGCUGUGGGAUAUUUAUGGCUUCUUUUCAUGAUUCCUGAAACAGUAGGUGACUUCAGAAUACCCAGCCUCUCCUGUGGGCUGUGGCAUUCAGUGCAAGCCUGUCUCUGGGUAUUUGGUUGAGAGGUGGGCAUGGAAAGCAUAUGUCUGAGUCAAAAACCUUGCUGGGGCAGCGCUGAAUUGAGUGGUGAUCAUUCUAGUAAUAAAUAAAAAUUUUGAAAUACUUAUAACUUGUCAGGGACUAUGCUAAAGAUUUUCAUAGGUAAUCUGAAUUAAUUCUCAAAACAAACCUUUAAGGUAGAUACUAAUAAUGCUCCCAUUUUAUAAGAUGGGUAUACUGAGGCUUUGAGAAGUUAAAUCAUUUGUACAAAGUCACACAGCUAAUAAAUACAAAACUUACACUGAUGUAAACAGAAGAGGAAAUGAAAAUAUACAGUGUUCGGAAUACUAAAAAGUGUUUUAGAAGGAGGAACAUCUGUUUGUAUUUCUUGGUCUGAUUAAGGCAGCAAGCAAUCAUUGAGCAGCCACCCUGCAGGGUGCUGGGGCAGGUGCUAGAUCCCCACUGUCCCGUAAAUAAGCCACCUAUGCGAGCAAGAGUGUGAGGAGGCUUGAGGAAAAGCAGGGGAAGCCGGGGACGUGGAAGGACUUGGGGCUCAGGGCAGUAGAGAUGGUUACCAGGAAAGUGACGAGUUCUAGUCAAGAUAGCUGCAGGCCACGUUCCACUUCUUUUGGGUAUACCUCAUGAUUUAAAAUGUUGUCUACACAUUCCUGCAAAGAAGGUUAUGGUCCCCCCACCAUUUUUCAAAAAAGAACUUGGAGGUUGAGAGGUAGCACUCAACUUGCUCCAAGGACAUGGGAUAAAAAGCUAUACCUUCUAAGUGCCAAAGUCAUUUCAGAUCACAGCAGGUGCAGGUCAGCAGGCACUGCACUGAGAUAAAAGACUUCACCAGUUGCCCUUCUCUGUACUCUCUUCCCCAUUCUAGACAAAUGCUCAUCCUUGAGUCUACUGUGAACCCUGGGUCAGCCAGGUGCUGAGAUUGAUGCUCCCACAUCCUGCAAUCAGUGGGACUGCAAAACCAGUCAUGCCUCACCUGGUGCCUGGCUGGUGACUCUGUCUAAAUUCUUGGCCUUUCCAAUGGGGACCUGCUUUAUGGCACAGGGAAUACUACUCAGUAUUCUGUGAUAAUCCUUGUGGGAAAAGAAUCUGACAAAGAAUGGAUGUGUGUACAUGUGUAACUGAAUCACUUGUACAACAGGAAUUAUCACAAUCUUGGAAACCAGCUAUAGUUCUGUAAAACUUUAAAAAAUGAAAAGAAAAAUUCUUAGCCUCUGUCUCAACUCUUUGUCUGCCUUACUGAGUUCUGGCCUGUGCUAUCCUCUGACCUGGGACAUCUCUGCAUCCUUUAAGUCCUGCCUGCUUCCUGUUCUCCAUCCUAGGUGCUGUGCCCAUCUAGAACUUGCUCCAGGUCCCAGGCCCUAUGCUUUGUUAUCUCUUAGCUCUCUAGGUCUAAAUCAUUCUGUUACCGUAAUUUUGGGGGUAGUUGAUAAUAUAAAAAUGCAAAUUUUUAUUUUUCAAAUGUGAAGGUAUAUUAAAAUGUUGAGUCUUCUUUGAAAAGUACAUAUAUUUCCCUAGAACUAGACCUGAGACACCACUGAUACUUGUUUUAUGCCUCCAAUAUGCCUCUCUCAGAUUUUACAUUGGAGUCAGGAAAAUCCUCUAACAUGGUGGUAUUGAAGCCUGGCUUCCCAUUAGAACCCUUGGGAAACUUGAGAGAAUGUUUGGGUCUUACUCCAGGACUCUGAUUUAGUUGCUCUAAAUGAUGGGUUCAGGACUUCUUAGGUAAUUGGUAAUGUGUAAGCAGGAUUAGGAUCUAUUGAAUUAGCACCAUCAGCAUUUUUAAUGCUAGGUGAAGAAUUCAGAUUUGCCUUAAAAGGUAGGAUUGGCAGAUUUAGCAAAGAGAAAUAUAAGAUGCCAAGUUGAAUUUGAAUUUCAGAUAAAUGACAAGUAAUUUUUUAGUAUAAUUAUAUCACAUGCAAUAGUUGGGACAUAUAUUUACUAAAAACUAUUUGUUGUUUCACUGGGCAUUUUGACAAUCCUAUUUUUAGGGAGAAUCCCCAUAAUUUGGAGAAAGUAUUUUCCUUUAACUGGUUUGAUUGAUAUUCAAACACUUACUGUUCUUUGUGCUCAUAUUCUGCUGAAAAGUUACGUGAAAUCAAGUUUUUAUGCUCACAUCCUCCCAGAAAUUUCUUUAGGAGAAAUCCUUACAUAUCCAAACAAGCAAAGUUUCAGCUAGCAAUAGAUUUCUCACUGUCUAGCCCCCUCUUACUUUUGCAUACUCUGGUUGGUGGCUUAUCCACCCAACUUUAUAAUCAUACUAUUAUGCUAAUUUCUUUUUUGAAAUACACGAGCUUCUAAAUUAAUUUUCCUCACUUGGAACAAGAAAGUAUUCCAAAGAGCUCUUUUUGGAAGAACUAUAGGAGACCUAGGAACAAAGUUUUGCAGCUGAAGAAGGAGAACGUGUGAUGGGAUGUGGAGAAAGUAUGUUCUCUCUUAGCUUUGUCAAAUGGGAGCAAAGUGAUUGUGAAUCAAGAUUUCAUCAAUAAUGCAUUAUUAUUUUGAAGACAUUAGAGGUAACUAAGUGUUUACAAGCUUUAUGACAGUUCUGACAUUUUAAUGGGCCCUUACAUGAAGUGAAUUAUUAAAAAGCAUACUUUGGAUGAGGUCAUGGACUCUAAGUUUAGAAAUCAAUAGAAAUAGACUGUGCAUGCCAAUAUGGCUACAGCUAUGCCAGUAAUUUGUGUGGUCAGGUUAUUAUAUUAUAAUGGAACAAUGAGAAUCUGCCUUCUUCCCCUUACUGCUCACUCCCUCCAACAUUCAUCAGAUACAGAAGGGAUCCAAUACUGAAAGCCUCAUCUUUUUCAGUUCCCGUAUGGAAAAUACACCUAUAUAUUGAUCUUCCAUUAAGUCAUUGUGCUGAAAAUUACAAAAAUAAAAAUAAUAAGAAGAUAGAGAUGGUAUCAUUUGCCUCUUCCUGUUUUUCUCUUAAGGAUCUUAUUUACUUAUUUUGGCCUGACUGCAAACAUUUGGAUGGCUCCAAACAUCAAGAGUGUUACUAGUAUUGUAAAACUUAAAAAAGAAGCCUUUUCUUCAAAUGAAAUAUUUUGUGCAAGACCAAUAUGUAAGUAAUACAGAUCAAAUUAGAGCUUUUCAUUUGAAGAGGAGGAAAGAACUGAGCUGUACUUGUUCAGUUCCUCAUAUCCUGAACUUAGGUAUUUCUACAGAACUCUUAGGGUUCUGUGGAACUCAGAGAAUCUAUGAAAACCACUUAUUUAGGCCAUCUGAUUUAUUUUAACUUUUUAUUUUAGCUUCAAGGUUGUUUGGAUGUUUGCAACCAUUGAGAUUAUUAACCACUGUUAACAGGGCCAGCCCGUGUUCAUCUGUGGUGGGAUCUGUAGAAUAUGACCCCUAGGGCUCUUACUAUCAAAAUCUUGUCGAGUUCUCAGUUUUCAAACUUUGUUGGAGAUAAAGAGGUGUUGAGAGAUUUGCAUUUAAUGGCAGUAGCAAAUGCCACUUGUCAUUCAUGGCAACUCAUCCUCCUGAAUUCAGGCUGUAAAGUGCUUAGGAUUUUGUACCUGUUAUUGAGAAAGAAGGUAAAGAGCCCUGAGCACAAAGGCAUUUGGACAUGGGAGAGAAACAGUUAUGCAAACUCUUGGGGCAGUGAAAACUGAGGCUAAAAGGGGACCUCCUGCUAAGAGUGAGUUUCACAGAAUACCGUCCCCUAAAUGGGCACUGGCUUUUGACUAGGUCCACAAUUCAGGCGUCAGGUUUUUAAACCCAAGGGAAAUUUCUUUUUUUUUUUUUUAUUUUCCCACUGUACAGCAAGGGGGUCAGGUCAUCCUUACAUGUAUACAUUGCAGUUACAGUUUUUCCCCCAUCCUUUCUUCUGUUGCAAUAUGAGUAUCUAGACAUUGUUCUCAGUGCUAUUCAGCAGGAUCUCCUUGUAAAUCUAUUCUAGGUUGUGUCUGAUAAGCCCAAGCUCCCGAUCCCUCCCACUCCCUCCCCCUCCCAUCAGGCAACCAACCACAAGUCUCUUCUCCAAGUCUAUGAUUUUCUUUUCUGAGGAGAUGUUCAUUUGUGCUGGAUAUUAGAUUCCAGUUAUAAGUGAUAUCAUAUGGUAUUUGCCUUUGUCUUUCUGGCUCAUUUCACUCAGUAUGAGAUUCUCUAGUUCCAUCCAUGUUGCUGCAAAUGGCAUUAUGUCAUCCUUUUUUAUGGCUGAGUAGUGCUCCAUUGUGUAUAUAUACCACAUCUUCUGAAUCCAAUCAUCUGUCGAUGGACAUUUGGAUUGUUUCCAUGUCCUGGCUAUUGUGAAUAGUGCUGCAAUGAACAUGCGGGUGCACGUGUCUCUUUUAAGUAGAGUUUUGUCCGGAUAGAUGCCCAAGAAUGGGAUUGCGGGGUCAUAUGGAAGUUCUAUGUAUAGAUUUCUAAGGUAUCUCCAAACUGUUCUCCAUAGUGGCUGUACCAGUUGACAUUCCCACCAACAGUGCAGGAGGGUUCCCUUUUCUCCACAGCCCCUCCAGCACCAAGUGAAAUUUCUAAAUGUGGCUUAAAAGUAGGAAUAUAUAUAUUCUCUCACAGAAUACGUUUUUAGGUAGGACCAUUCUGGAGUUGACUAAUUCUGAGGUUCAACAUCAUCUAGGACCCAAAUCUUACCAUUUGUCUGCUCCACCAUCUCUAGUAUUAGUUCUCUGAUCUGUUUCCUCUCAUAAUUGCAAGGUGCCCAACAUGGUCUAGGCAUCACAUGCAAGUGGCCAUUUUGAUGGAAAAGCCUCUUUUUGUCAGUGAGAAAAACUACCUCCCAGACCCCCCCCAAGACUUCCCCCUCACAUGUCAUUGGCCAACACAGUGAGACAAACCCAAGCUUAAAACAAUCACAGGAAAAGGAAGCCAUUGGCUUGGGUCAAUCGUGACUCACCACCAGUGCCCCAGAAGCAUUGUUUCUUCUCAGUAUCAAGAGAAAAGGGGAGAAAUUUCAAUCAACAGCAUCUACCACAGUCCCAGGUUUGUCACUCUUUGCCAUUUGAGGUGGGGCUGAGGGG
rnacentral:lncRNA from 1 species